rnacentral:rRNA from 1 species
AUUGAACGCUGGCGGCAUGCCUUACACAUGCAAGUCGAACGGCAGCACGGGGGGUAACCCCUGGUGGCGAGUGGCGAACGGGUGAGUAAUAUAUCGGAACGUGUCCUGUAGCGGGGGAUAACCUAUCGAAAGAUGGACUAAUACCGCAUACGACCUACGGGUGAAAGCGGAGGACCGCAAGGCUUCGCACUAUAGGAACGGCCGAUAUCGGAUUAGCUAGUUGGCGGGGUAACGGCCCACCAAGGCGACGAUCCGUAGCUGGUCUGAGAGGACGAUCAGCCACACUGGAACUGAGACACGGUCCAGACUCCUACGGGAGGCAGCAGUGGGGAAUUUUGGACAAUGGGCGCAAGCCUGAUCCAGCCAUGCCGCGUGAGUGAAGAAGGCCUUCGGGUUGUAAAGCUCUUUCGGCGGGGACGAAACGGUUCGUGCUAAUACCACGGACUACUGACGGUACCCGCAGAAGAAGCACCGGCUAACUACGUG